rnacentral:tRNA from 1 species
GAAGCAGUAGCUCAGUUGGCAGAGUAUGGUAAUCCGUGAAAUUACCUUUAAUGCACAGGUCAAUUAAGGCGUACUCCAAACUUGGCGUGAGCCCCUAUCGCAGCUUUAAAAUUACCGGCAAAUGGUCAAUUCAGAUUUACUUCAUGGAUUUCUAGUCCCUGGGACGCCGGCUCAAAUCCGGCCUGCUUCA